CAGUAGCCGCGAGAAUACGAGGGGAGCUAGCGUUAUUCGGAAUUACUGGGCGUAAAGCGCACGUAGGCGGCUUUGUAAGUUAGAGGUGAAAGCCCAGAGCUCAACUCUGGAAUUGCCUUUAAGACUGCAUCGCUUGAAUCCAGGAGAGGUGAGUGGAAUUCCGAGUGUAGAGGUGAAAUUCGUAGAUAUUCGGAAGAACACCAGUGGCGAAGGCGGCUCACUGGACUGGUAUUGACGCUGAGGUGCGAAAGCGUGGGGAGCAAACAGGAUUAGAUACCCCUGUAGUCCCUGUAUCUUAUAC
rnacentral:rRNA from 1 species